UUUGUCAACUUCUAGUCCCCAGUUCACUCACCAUCAGUUGGACACACAGGAACACGUGGUGCUACUAACAUCAGCACAAUCAGAAGGAUCCAAACAUGACAGAAGGGGUUGGCAUUUCAAUUUCCACCAUACCAACAUCAGAUGCCACUCCAUGGACACCACAAGGUCUGAAUCUGUGCCUAGUAGGAGCACAGUGGUCCUCUCGGUUUGGCCAGAGGACGAUAGGAAUGGAGCUGUGUGUCGGCGGGGAUUUGGAUGUAGACAGUCAAGGGGUCCAUCUCUCUACGUCCGGUCCCCAUCUACUCAACAUCAACUGGACACACAAGCAGACUUGGCGCUACUACACCCAGUGCAAUGAUGUGAAGGACACCGCAUAGGAAGACAACAGGUGGUAUAUUUUAGGGAUCACGUCAACAUCUCGAGCCACAUCAUCUAUGCUCUCCAUCAUCUAUUCCUGUACACUAAGAGGAUGACAGGACAGGAAAUGUGUGUCAGUGGGGACUUGGAUUUAGACAGGUAGGUCGUUAACGGAGUUCGCUCAACAUCAGUUGGACGCACAGGUAGAGUAUGGGUCCAUUUAACACGCCUUGCUGCCACACACACACACAUUGUAUAAUGUUUUAGUGUUCUUUGCUUCACAGUCAGAGGAUCCAGCUGUCUGUUUCCGGUCCCCGAUUACUCAACAUCAACUGGACACACAGAAAAACAUCGCUACCUGUGCUCUACGAGAGCACACUACCCCUCUAGGACCACAACAGAAGGAAAUGUGUGUCGGUGGGGACUUGGGUUUGGACAGUUGAGGGACCUAUCUGUCUGCUCCCAGUCCCCAUGUACUGACCACCAACUGGACACACAGGCAUGCACGCCCCAACACCACAAAAUAUCCGGCCGUAGAGAAAAAGCAUUCCAGCACGGAAUCAGAGGAGCUGGAAAGUUUGGCCUAUUACUUCAACCACAUCAGGACCGAACACAUCAAUCAGACAUGACCGGUGUCUGGAAGUGAGGACUGAGAACCCACCCCGCUGGUUACAACUCCAGCAGGUGAAAAAGAACGGAAGUGUGUGUCAGUGGGGAGUUGUAUUCAGACAGGUUCCAUACGUCUGUUUCCACUCCCCAUUCAAUCAACAUCAAUUGGACACACACAAGGACAGUCUCAGUAUGAAGAUAAGGAUUUAAAUAAGGAUAAGGAAAAAAUAAAUCUCAUUUUUUUCCAACCUCAACCAAAUUGGAACCCAUUUUUUGCCUCAAGACCAAAUAAACUCUCAUUGUUGUAAACUGU